ACUAACGCCCUUUGCAGUAGGAUCAUUUCUAUAGGAAUCGUCACUCUUUGACUCUUCAAAAGAGCCACUGAAUCCAACUUGGUUGAUGAGCGACCUAGCCUUUGCGCCCUAGAGUGAGAACGGAUGAAGUAGCUUGGUCCACAACCCUUAGCGGUUUGGCCAUCUGCCAUUUGUUGCCUUCAAUAUAUUUUAGGCGCGAUGAUCUUGGCCCAUCCACAUGCCCUUCGGGGGGUGCGUUUGGGCGGGCGCGAACGGCAGUCUGACAAGU
rnacentral:snoRNA from 1 species